GCUGAGGUGUGUAUUAUGGGGUUCUGCAGCAGCUGAGGUGUGUAUUAUGAUGUUCUGCAGCAGCUGAGGUGUGUAUUAGGAGGUUCUGCAGCAGCUGAGGUGUGUAUUAGGAGGUUCUGCAGCAGCUGAGGUGUGUAUUAUGAUGUUCUGC